UUAGCUGUAGGUACAUCUUUUUUUCCGAGUCUCGUGAUAGUAUCUAUUCCUCGAAUGCUUUACUUAAAUCCUACAAAAUUUCAGACGUUGAGAAAAGAAGACACACUCGCCUCGGUUACGUGACUCACGUCGUAUGAUGUACGUUAAAAAAGUGCUUAGGCAUCCUGCGAUUUUAGGUAAAAUAAAAAAGACGUGAUAUUUUUGCAUAGGUAUAAUUUUUUAAUACGAACGGGUAGACAAAGGGGAAUUAAAGCGCGAGUUUUUAUUUAAUUCGUGUUUAUGAGCUGACGCGCGUUAUUUCCCGUACCUUUGCCCUCCUCUGAUUAACGGACUGGGGGAUUUGCAAAAAUAUGACAUUUUUAACAUAUCACCCCGUGCAGAUUUCAUGAAUUUCAUUUUCACAGGUACCUCGUUAACCGUGAGGACGUCUGUAGAGAAUUCUUUGGGCCUCGACAAAUUCUAAAAGAUCGACUAGUUGGAAGCCAGUUCGCCGCGAGGGAAUCAUUCGGUGGACGAAGUGACCGAAAGUUUAUCUUUCGCUUUAUCUCAUUUAUUAGAAUAUUUAUAUUACCGACCAUUUUCGAAUCUUGGUACACUUAUUUCUGUUAAAUAUCGGGCAGUCACGUUUGGUCUAUGGACGAGCAUUGAGGUACUUGACGAAUUGAAACGGUAAUUUGGUAAAGAUGCAAUCAGCCGUAAUUGUAGACCUAACGUGACCGUUAACGGCUUUGAGAAUGUACGAGGAGAGGAAGAUUCGACUUGUUUAUAUGAAUUACUGGUUAAAGGUUUUUUUAACUUAACGACCGCCCGAAGUAAGAAACGACUACCCACUGCAGAGCACCUGUAUCGUUUACUGUAGGAUACUUUGGAGGAAAUUCGUUCGCCGGUACAACUGACCAAAUGUUCCUCGUCUCUCUACGUUCUGACUAGUAGUGAUUCGAUCAACGACGAUUCUGACUCGCUGGAUCCGAUUUCGAAAGAUGAGGCGGAUAUGCACCCUGAAGAAAGGCAGAUGAAACAUGGCGGAAAAAUCACCGACUCGCCGAAAAUGGGAGGAGCAAAAUCAACUCCCGCUAUCCGUGGAAAGAUCGAUUUACUGCGUAAUGAUAACGAUUCAAUGGUUGCUAAAAACACCGACGAUACACAUGCGACCAUAAACAGCAACUUAAGACGAAGGUCGUUUCGCCGAAAUGAGAAUUACACAUCCGAGAUUCGACAUCAAAAAAACGUGUUGGGACACCGACGCGGGCAAUCACUGCCGCAAAUUAAUUUAGAUGCAAUCCUUAAACCACCGCAAAUUCCUAUGGACAAUUAUUCAGUAGAACCUGAGGAUUCAUUAAAUAUCAAGAUCAAUAAGGAAAGGAUAGGUGAUCGUAACCUUGAUAGACAUGAAUUUAAAGGAAAGGGGCAAAUGGAAAAUCCUAGUCAUUCCAUCCGCAGUCAAAAACAAGACGACCUAAUUUUGCCUGGAGAUGAUUUUGAAAGUAUCAAUAAACCCAAUCACCAAAUAGAAAGGGAUGAUAGCGAUUCAAGUACUGUACCACGAAGCUCCAGUCAUCACAGCCGUUCCUCUACCAGAGCCCCUUCUACGGUUUCCCGUCGUGCAGAGAGUGCAUCACCGUCCGUAUGUCCAAAAUGCACCCGUUGCAGCAGGGUGCAAGUGCAUUACAAAAUUCCACGACGUAGUCCCAGCGCAGAACCUUUGACCGGCAGUGCUGAACAUUAUGCAACAAUGAAAUCACGUUUCAGUGCACUCGACUCCACAAGUACAUGGCGUCGCGCCGAUGGUUCGCUAUUCCCUAAAGCUCGAAAAGUCAGUUACCAUUAGUUUCAACUCAACGGAUUACGCAAAACGGCUGCAAGUGGACGGACAUCACGGAAAAUAACGUGAUCUACAAUGAUUCUGUCCAACUCGAUGCAAGAUUCGUCAAGAUCGACAUUCACCCAAGGCCACGGUAUUGAAGAAUAAAUUCCUCGUUUACCUAGCAAACCAGCUAACUUACUCUUUACGAUCCAGAAUAAAAGCGGUAAUUUGAACUCUGCCGAAGUGUUCUUUAUGCCGGAACUUCAGCGCAUUAAAGUUUACAAAUCUUGAAAAAGACGUACGAUUACGAAGACGUUGCAACAGCUAAGGGAAAAGAAAAAUUAAGAUUUUGCUUCUCCAACAAAAACUUUUAAUUUAUAUUCAUUUACUCAUAAAACACGUUAAUUCACAACUACUUAACUUUAUACUGAAUGAAAGUAUGCAAAUGAAAGUAAGUUUCUAAUGGUGAAUGCAAUAAACUGUUAGAAUUUCAAUCAAGUAAAAAUACUUUUGAAUAGCAA